rnacentral:rRNA from 1 species
CCGAUGGCGAAGGCAGGUCUCUGGGCUGUAACUGACGCUGAGAAGCGAAAGCAUGGGGAGCGAACAGGAUUAGAUACCCUGGUAGUCCAUGCCGUAAACGUUGGGCACUAGGUGUGGGGGACAUUCCACGUUUUCCGCGCCGUAGCUAACGCAUUAAGUGCCCCGCCUGGGGAGUACGGCCGCAAGGCUAAAACUCAAAGAAAUUGACGGGGGCCCGCACAAGCGGCGGAGCAUGCGGAUUAAUUCGAUGCAACGCGAAGAACCUUACCAAGGCUUGACAUAUACUGGACCGCAUCAGAGAUGGUGUUUCCCUUCGGGGCUGGUAUACAGGUGGUGCAUGGUUGUCGUCAGCUCGUGUCGUGAGAUGUUGGGUUAAGUCCCGCAACGAGCGCAACCCUCGUUCUAUGUUGCCAGCACGUUAUGGUGGGGACUCAUAGGAGACUGCCGGGGUCAACUCGGAGGAAGGUGGGGAUGACGUCAAAUCAUCAUGCCCCUUAUGUCUUGGGCUUCACGCAUGCUACAAUGGCCGGUACAGAGGGUUGCGAUACUGUGAGGUGGAGCUAAUCCCUAAAAGCCGGUCUCAGUUCGGAUUGGGGUCUGCAACUCGACCCCAUGAAGUCGGAGUCGCUAGUAAUCGCAGAUCAGCAACGCUGCGGUGAAUACGUUCCCGGGCCUUGUACACACCGCCCGUCAAGUCACGAAAGUUGGUAACACCCAAAGCCGGUGGCCUAACCUUUUUGGAGGGAGCCGUCUAAGGUGGGAUUGGCGAUUGGGACUAAGUCGUAACAAGGUAGCCGUACCGGAAGG